GGGAGAACCCCCUGUGCUGCUGACCAUCAAAUCAAGCAGCCUGCCAAUGGAGAUGGGUGUCCUCAGUGUGUUCCCACAGCCCUAAGCACCCUCAGCCCCACCACGGCAGGCCACAUCCCCCUCUCCCAUGAAAGCUUUAUUUACACUGCUGCUUCCAGACUGCAGCUCUUCACAAAAUCAGAGAAACAGCACCCAGUCAGUGGGUUCAAUGCAUGGUGAGGACAUGUUGAGGUUCAGGGCAGGGAGGUGGCCAUGAUCACAGCUGUGGCCAUGCUCAGGAGGGGAUGGAAGAGGGUGGUAGUGGCAAGAGUGGAGAGACCAGUGCUUAGGACUCGCCGGCCUCAAACAUCUUCUUCCUGCCCUCCAUGCCGGAUUUCUCCUCAAUGUUCUUCCUCCAGUCACCCACAUCGCGGAGGUCCUUCUCCUUCUCCGUGUCCUCCUUCUUGACUUGCUUCAGGUUGGCCCGGAGGUCCAUGUUGACCUUGUGCUUGGAGCCCAGCAGGGCACGCAGCAUGGCAUCAGCAGACAUGCGCACCCGGCGCAGAGGUGGCCUCUUGAACUUGCCCCUCAGGUCAAACAGCUUCUGGCUCAGGUCCUCCAGCUCCUUGUUAGUCUUCUGUAGCUUCACCUCUGUGUCAUACCUUUCCUCAUCCACUGAGUCUAUCUUGGCAUGAAGCUUUUUGCACAGUUCCUGAAGUUCCUGCAUGGAUCCUGGGAGGGACAGAGGAGGGCAAUGCUCUGCCAGGUAGUUUUGCUUUUCCACUUCUUUAGCAGCUGCUUCUUUUUCUAUUUCAGUGACAGCAAGCUGGAGCAUAGCACUCUUCAGGUGCUGCCGCCGGGCGGUGGCUGCCCUCCUCUUUUUCUCUUACUCAGACAUCUUGCUUUAGAUGGUUGUGAACCCGAGUCCGGAGAAGGAACAGAGAGCCCCGCUGGCCGGCCAGGACUGACUGGCAAGCCGCAAGCAGCUGGCCGGGGAAGGAGGUAUAAAAGGGCUUCUCGGGUGGCUCAGCAGAAAAUCCACCUUCUCUUUAAGGGCAUGGAGACCUUCUCAGACCAAUGGUGUGCAAGAGCCCCCAUGCACCUCCCUUGGCUGGGGCAGGCCAGGCAGCCCCGCAGGAGAGGAGCAGCUCUGCCCUUGGGGAACACUGGCUGGAAGGAGCCCGCAGCAUACGCAUCACCCCACCAACAUUCAGCCACCGGCAGCACAUUGGAGAGCCAUCCCUGAGCGAGCCAUUCAGUGCCAGCAUCUUCUUUUAACCUCAGUUACCACACAGAAAAAUAUGUGCUGCUUCUCCUCCCCACGUGAAAUAUUUCAAUACUAGGUGUAAAGUUUUUAUUAAGAAAGAACAAAACCACUCAAAGCUAUGGAGCUGCUGCUGCUGGGUAACCCCAUGCUACCAGCAAGUGAGGCAACCUCAAAUCCACAUACCCAUGGCGCAAGCGAGAGACAGAUAGAAAUGGCAGUGGAAAUAUUCACCAGCCCUAUCCACAGCAGAUGUAGCGUGUGUGUGUAGGGGAUCCC
rnacentral:lncRNA from 1 species